CCCAGACUCCUACGGGAGGCAGCAGUGAGGAAUAUUGGUCAAUGGGCGAGAGCCUGAACCAGCCAAGUCGCGUGAGGGAAGACGGUCCUAUGGAUUGUAAACCUCUUUUGCCGGGGAGCAAAAAGCGGUACGUGUACCGCAUCGAGAGUACCCGGAGAAAAAGCAUCGGCUAACUCCGUGCCAGCAGCCGCGGUAAUACGGAGGAUCCGAGCGUUAUCCGGAUUUAUUGGGUUUAAAGGGAGCGUAGGUGGAUUGUUAAGUCAGUUGUGAAAGUUUGCGGCUCAACCGUAAAAUUGCAGUUGAAACUGGCAGUCUUGAGUACAGUAGAGGUGGGCGGAAUUCGUGGUGUAGCGGUGAAAUGCAUAGAUAUCACGCAGAACUCCGAUUGCGAAGGCAGCAUACCGGCGCGCAACUGACGCUCAUGCACGAAAGCGUGGGUAUCGAACAGGAUUAGAUACCCCAGUAU
rnacentral:rRNA from 1 species